rnacentral:rRNA from 1 species
AUUGAACGCUGGCGGCAGGCCUAACACAUGCAAGUCGAGCGGCAGCGGGACCUUCGGGUUGCCGGCGAGCGGCGGACGGGUGAGUAAUGCCUAGGAAUCUGCCUGUUAGUGGGGGAUAACGCGGGGAAACUCGCGCUAAUACCGCAUACGUCCUACGGGAGAAAGCGGGGGCUCUUCGGACCUCGCGCUAACAGAUGAGCCUAGGCCGGAUUAGCUAGUUGGUGGGGUAAUGGCCCACCAAGGCGACGAUCCGUAACUGGUCUGAGAGGAUCAUCAGUCCAACUGGAACUGAGACACGGUCCAGACUCCUACGGGAGGCAGCAGUGGGGAAUAUUGUACAAUGGGCGAAAGCCUGAUCCAGCCAUGCCGCGUGUGUGAAGAAGGUCUUCGGAUUGUAAAGCACUUUAAGUCGGGAGGAAGGGCUGUAGGCUAAUACCUUGCAGUUUUGACGUUACCGACAGAAUAAGCACCGGCUAACUUCGUGCCAGCCGCCGCCGUAA